GUGAAGAACGCAGCGAAAUGCGAUAAGUAAUGUGAAUUGCAGAAUUCAGUGAAUCAUCGAAUCUUUGAACGCACCUUGCGCUCUUUGGUAUUCCGAAGAGCAUGCCUGUUUGAGUGUCAUGAAAAUAUCAACCUUGACUUGGGUUUUGUGCUCUAGUCUCGGCUUGGAAUUGGGUGCUUGCUGCUUUUACGAGCGGCUCACCUUAAAUGUAUUAGCUGGAUCUGUCUUUGAGACUUGGUUUGACGUGGCGUAAUAAGUAUUUCGCUAAGGACAUUCUUCGGAGUGGCCUCGUUUCUAGGACGCUUGUCCGCUUUCCAAUACAAGUUCCACCUCGUGGACAUGACUUUUUAUUAUCUGGCCUCAAAUCAGGUAGGACUACCCGCUGAACUUAAGCAUAUCAAUAAGCGGAGGA
rnacentral:misc_RNA from 1 species